rnacentral:rRNA from 1 species
GGCUCAGGACGAACGCUGGCGGCGUGCCUAAUACAUGCAAGUAGAACGCUGAAGGAGGAGCUUGCUUCUCCGGAUGAGUUGCGAACGGGUGAGUAACGCGUAGGUAACCUGCCUGGUAGCGGGGGAUAACUAUUGGAAACGAUAGCUAAUACCGCAUAAGAGUAGAUGUUGCAUGACAUUUGCUUAAAAGGUGCAAUUGCAUCACUACCAGAUGGACCUGCGUUGUAUUAGCUAGUUGGUGGGGUAACGGCUCACCAAGGCGACGAUACAUAGCCGACCUGAGAGGGUGAUCGGCCACACUGGGACUGAGACACGGCCCAGACUCCUACGGGAGGCAGCAGUGGGGAAUCUUCGGCAAUGGACGGAAGUCUGACCGAGCAACGCCGCGUGAGUGAAGAAGGUUUUCGGAUCGUAAAGCUCUGUUGUAAGAGAAGAACGAGUGUGAUAGUGGAAAGUUCACACUGUGACGGUAUCUUACCAGAAAGGGACGGCUAACUACGUGC